rnacentral:piRNA from 1 species
UCACUUUGGGUNCUGACACCAUUGUGUAG